CUCUCUCUCUCUCUUCCUCUCUCUCUCUCUCUUUCCCUCUCUAAACUUUGUUUCCUGCUCAGCCCCACAGAGACGCUGCCCAUUGGUUGAGAGUUUAUGUCCCUAAUCCUCUGGCCUCAGUGCCAGAAUGCAGUCACACCCACUGACUGGCUCUGAUGUAGGCACAGAAACAUUGCUCCCAGACUGUAACUAGUGUGUGUGUGUGUGUGUGUGUGUAUGUGUGUGUGUGUGUGUGUGUGUGUGUGCACAGAAACAUUGCUCCCAGACUGUAACUAUUGUGUGUGUGUGUGUGUGUGUGUGUGUGUGUGUGUGUGUGUGUGUGUGUGUGUGUGUGCACAGAAACAUUGCUCCCAGGCUGUAACUAGUGUGUGUUCACUGACGCUGUUGUUCUCUGUCCAACAAGCUUUUUCGGGCGCGGGCAUCCAAACCAUGAAACUAAAAUGGAACCAAAUACAAAAAGACACUCACAACCACUGAAGUAGAAAGGUAUAAAAAUUGAUAUGAAUAUUUCAUAACAUCUUUCAGAGGGUGACUUUCCUCUUCGCACUCCGCAAUGAGGAGUGAAUCCUGGAGUGGCAACGUGCCCACGAGCUCAGACUCGUCACGAAAUGUCCCUCACGGUUACAAGCAUGAGGAACAUGGAUGAAGAUGUUCCUACUUUCUUAUGUUUUGAGGAACUGCUACUUGUCUGAAGUGCUGUCAGGCCACAUGAAAUGUGAAAUUAGGUGAAAUAAGUGAAAUGAUUCCAUGAAGAAAAUCAUCAUAUUAUGGCAGCUAAAUACACAUGUUUUUAGUUGCUAUCAGCUUGAGCUAAUCAGCAAAUCACGAGUCUAGGCUCCUGAAGCUAUUCUAGGUGGGCUUCUGGGAUGGUCAGGUUAAUCUUUUACUCUGGGGCGUGGUAGUUCACUUGUGUUGUAGCCACAACAGUCGCCCUCACCCAAAGUAACUACAGUGUAUAGGUAACCAGUAGUUUGAACCCCGCACACAGUAGCCCACAGAAGAAAAGCAUAUCAUUACAAUAUGUCUGUGCUUGUUAAAGUGUAACAACCCAGUAUUUGUUUUGUAAACCCUUAAUGCACCUGGUGGUGCAGUUUUGGUAGUCUUGUAGUUCAUAUUUCACAUGUAAAAAACAUUUAGCCCAAACAUUAAGCUCAGAUGCGGGUCGACAUAUUUCAGGCUAUGAAGAACAGUCUGCCGUUGCCUGUGCAACAAAGGGUUUGUUUAUGCUUCACUAAGAUCUCCUAGAUGUUUUCAUUAAAUAUAUAAAAGUCUGUGACUGGCCAGGCAAGUUGCUUUUUCAGACAAGUGGAAACUCUCAAUUGACAAUGACACGUUGUACUAACUCACUUACAAUUACGGUUAGUCAAAGUUAGUCAAAACUAUUAACGUCAAAGUCAGUCAAAACUAAAUUCUAAAAUCUUGUUAUUGGCCUGUUGCUCGCCUGUCAGGGCAAGAAGCCAACGGGCUGAAACAGCUGCCUGAGCAAGAUAAGGAACAUACGUCAAUGAUUCCUUUAAAAUCAAACUUAUGUACGCAUCUUAAUGGGCUAUUUUCUCAAACCUUCCUUGAGACAUUUAAGUCCGGGAUUCUGUUCACAAUAACGAACGCAUUCAUUAUUAGGCUGCCAUGCGCCUACGAUUUCCUGGUCAAAGCCGAGAGUCGAAAUGCGGUAGCGGUAGUCGAAUAGAAAGUUUAACAAAAAGCCCGGAGAAUAUUUCCCAGAUGUUUCCUGUCCAGAAUUUAGCAGGAGAUGUGGUCAGACUGUUGCAUUUACAGUUUGGGUUACUAUUUACCCCGCACAACAACCGCAAGCAUACGAAGCGGACACAUGCCGUUCUUGAGAAAUGAUCGGGGUGAAAAGUUAACACAGCCUACCUUUGGUGCUCCUCUUCAAGGUUGAAGAGAAUAGAGAGAGAGGGGUUGGGAAUUUUGGCCGUUUAUGUGCAUCAGACUCCCCGUAGCCUACUGUAACACACUCGCACACUGAAAAAGCACAAGCGAUGAACUGGCACGCCUCUGCGUUAACGCCCCAUCGCAUUCCCCAGUCACCUCGGGCGAGUCAGUACAGUGUGCCAUGCGUGCACUGUACACGCAGUAUGUGCAGUCAUUACAAACGUGGAGAGUAUGGCUAAUUAGAAUGCGAAAUUGUUGCGCUAUUAAUUCAACACAUCUUCGUGUGUGGAUAAAGCAAGUGGGAGGUUUACAUUGUCCUGUUUACAGUAAGGGCCU
ensembl:lncRNA